rnacentral:rRNA from 1 species
GCUCAUCCCAUCCUGGGGCUGGAGUAGGUCCCAAGGGUUUGGCUGUUCGCCAAUUAAAGGGGUACGUGAGCUGGGUUCAGUACGUCGUGAGACAGUACGGUCUCUAUCUACCGUGGGCGUAGGAAACUUGAGAGGACUCGUUCUUAGUACGAGAGGACCGGAAUGAACAUACCUCUGGUGUUUCUGUUGUUCCGCCAGGAGCAUUGCAGAGUAGCCAAGUAUGGAUGAGAUAAACACUGAAAGCAUAUAAGUGUGAAACUCACCUCAAGAUAAGGUUUCCCUGAAGGGCACUUGUAGACUACGAGUUUGAUAGGUUGGAAGUGGAAGUACAGUAAUGUAUGGAGCUAACCAAUACUAAUUGCCCGUUUGGCUUGGUCGC